AUGAACGCUAGCUACAGGCUUAACACAUGCAAGUCGAGGGGCAGCAUGGUCUUAGCUUGCUAAGGCCGAUGGCGACCGGCGCACGGGUGAGUAACACGUAUCCAACCUGCCGUCUACUCUUGGACAGCCUUCUGAAAGGAAGAUUAAUACAAGAUGGCAUCAUGAGUCCGCAUGUUCACAUGAUUAAAGGUAUUCCGGUAGACGAUGGGGAUGCGUUCCAUUAGAUAGUAGGCGGGGUAACGGCCCACCUAGUCUUCGAUGGAUAGGGGUUCUGAGAGGAAGGUCCCCCACAUUGGAACUGAGACACGGUCCAAACUCCUACGGGAGGCAGCAGUGAGGAAUAUUGGUCAAUGGGCGAGAGCCUGAACCAGCCAAGUAGCGUGAAGGAUGACUGCCCUAUGGGUUGUAAACUUCUUUUAUAAAGGAAUAAAGUCGGGUAUGUAUACCCGUUUGCAUGUACUUUAUGAAUAAGGAUCGGCUAACUCCGUGCCAGCAGCCGCGGUAAUACGGAGGAUCCGAGCGUUAUCCGGAUUUAUUGGGUUUAAAGGGAGCGUAGAUGGAUGUUUAAGUCAGUUGUGAAAGUUUGCGGCUCAACCGUAAAAUUGCAGUUGAUACUGGAUAUCUUGAGUGCAGUUGAGGCAGGCGGAAUUCGUGGUGUAGCGGUGAAAUGCUUAGAUAUCACGAAGAACUCCGAUUGCGAAGGCAGCCUGCUAAGCUGCAACUGACAUUGAGGCUCGAAAGUGUGGGUAUCAAACAGGAUUAGAUACCCUGGUAGUCCACACGGUAAACGAUGAAUACUCGCUGUUUGCGAUAUACUGCAAGCGGCCAAGCGAAAGCGUUAAGUAUUCCACCUGGGGAGUACGCCGGCAACGGUGAAACUCAAAGGAAUUGACGGGGGCCCGCACAAGCAGUGGAGUAUGUGGUUUAAUUCGACGCAACGCGAAGAACCUUACCAGGUCUUGACAUCCGGCUAACGAAGCAGAGAUGCAUUAGGUGCCCUUCGGGGAAAGUCGAGACAGGUGGUGCAUGGUUGUCGUCAGCUCGUGUCGUGAGAUGUUGGGUUAAGUCCCGCAACGAGCGCAACCCUUGUUGUCAGUUACUAACAGGUUUCGCUGAGGACUCUGACAAGACUGCCAUCGUAAGAUGUGAGGAAGGUGGGGAUGACGUCAAAUCAUCAUGCCCCUUAUGGCCAGGGCUACACACGUGCUACAAUGGCGUAAACAAAGGGAAGCGAGAGGGUGACCUGAAGCGAAUCCCAAAAAUAACGUCUCAGUUCGGAUUGUAGUCUGCAACUCGACUACAUGAAGCUGGAAUCGCUAGUAAUCGCGAAUCAGAAUGUCGCGGUGAAUACGUUCCCGGGCCUUGUACACACCGCCCGUCACACCAUGGGAGUUGGGAAUGCCCGAAGCCAGUGACCUAACCGAAAGGAAGGAGCUGUCGAAGGCAGGCUCGAUAACUGGGGUG
rnacentral:rRNA from 1 species